UCUGCAAUUUGGGCUCUGCUUGGCGGCUUCCCUCCCUCGAUAGCGCUUGUGCUGUGUCGACUUGUCCCUCCUCUUUAGUGCGAUAUGUUAGUAGGUCUACGGCAUCACUUACAGAAACCGUAUGAUGGACUACGUAAAGCUUUUGCUGUAGCAAAAACAUGUUAUACUAGCUGUGAUCACAUAUAUUCACAACGAUACUACAAACGCGCCUUACUUUAAUGUCGUUGUGUAAAGGAAAGAAGCCGCGUAAGUUCAUCAUGUAUGCGUUGAGUUCAUAAAUGUGUACUUAAACUCAUGCUCAUCAGGAGUUUUAAGACCUACAAGUGCGAAAUUUGUUGCGAAAAUUUCACGCUCCCUCAGCUAUGCCACCCCUGUGUUCAACAAGUAGGGUCCAGAAAUGGCGUAGAGAAAUUCGGGCAGCAAGACAUAGGCACACCCAACCCUUUUUACCAUGGCAGAACAUGUCCGCUUCUACAGGAAGCGCAAGCGCAGGAAACCGAGUCAAGCUCAGGCGCCCCAACCAUCUAUGUACAAGUGGGGUGGGUUGGCACGGCGCAGGAUAGCCCCGGGUGCCACCAGUAGACGGGUCGUUUCUGUAACCGAGUGCCCCAACACCCCCUGCAAAACAAAGAAGCCAAGUACGAAUAGGGAGCGAGCGCGAUCCCAAGAUCAGACGGUUAGAUGUAGCAGCACUAGCCGCAACACAAGUUAGCCAUGUAGCCCUUCUAAUGCCUGAAUAAAUGUAGCUUGUGUGUUUGGUUACGUCAUUUCUGUACCCUAGUGCCAGUACACCCUCAGCAGCAAGCACAAGAGGUGUCACGCAGCCAUCGGCGGCUCGCGGCUCUGACAGAGUGUAGCCGAUUUUUUUUUAUUUAUUCAAUUUUCCCGCCAUCUCUCUUGUAAGGCUUUUCUAUCCCAUAUCUUUCCCCAGUCAGAAAAAAAAAAUAUAAGGUGUGAGGUCAUAGACACGGGGGCAGCAAAAGUCUACAUUUCCAUCAAAGGAUUUCUCUCUCUCUCUCGUUCCACGGUGCCAGUCAUCUACGGACAUAUUAAAAGGGUCUAAAGGACUGAGACACUUUCAGUUGCUUUCUUGUGACGGGAACGUCCUGAGCACUUCAUAUAUAUUUACCUCCAAUUUUUAGGGAAUAUCAGCGCACAAGCUAAGCCCGUCUUGCAAGUGCAUGGUUUACGAAGUGCCUGUCACUUCGUGCGAGUACAUAUGUAAACGCACAUAAACGAAGUUCUUUGAGAAACUUUCCAUGCCACUCCGCGAGCAAGAAAACCUCUUGCCAGGUGCUAUUGCAAAUCUACUAACGCGCCCGGAGAUCAAUAAAUCACUAGAAUGAGGUGCAGCGUACUCCUCACUUAUUGGAGCGUUUGUAGCAACACAGAUUAUACAGUCGUUUGGGCACAAACUUUGCCCGGCGACAGGUGAGCUCAAGCAUUCAAUUGUUCUUGAACAUUUGACAGGCCACGUUGGAAAAUUACGAUGUGCAUGCAACAGAAAUAACUCGGCAAUAGUUGCAAACAUUCCAGACGCACACGUUUUCUGAAAUGCGUCACUGUUUGUUCUGAAUACACACACAAAAUAAAAAAAACAAGAGAAGAAGCAGAAGGCUACCAAAAGAAAUUCUGUUUACGUGAGAGCCAUAGACGGAAAGCGCGACGCUUAUGUCCCGGAUCAUUGAAAUCGUGCGGCAAUCCCGAGCCACUUUUCCUUGGUCGAACGAGAUGGGAUGGUCAUUACGGAAACUAUCAGGGUAGGCAGUAACAAUGGGCGCAUGUCCAAGCCGUGCGCCGUUCCAAACGUAUAAGAAGACUGGCAACUCCACACAAAGGAGAAAACAGUUUCACCCACAGCGAUUGUAAGAAGUCACUGCCGACAGUGUCAUGAAGAUUUUCUUAGUGAUAACCUUGUUCCUGGCUGGUCUACUUCUUGCCCACGCACAAAGUAGACCACGCAGCCGAUACGACCGCGGAGGAGGCUAUUUAUUCCCACGAAGAGAUGUAGUCUCUGCUGCUGCAAGCUUUGGAUUUCCCGGACGCAGCGGAUACAACCGUUGACUGCGCAAUCGGCUACAUAGAAGCAUGCAGCGUCACCCUGCUUGGUAACUUCAGGAUGCACCUCAGCGUAUCGAAAAGAAUCAAUAAACGAUGAUACAGGUAGA